CGCCUAACACAUGCAAGUCGAGCGGUAACAUGAUGAGUAGCAAUACUGAUUGAUGACGAGCGGCGGACGGGUGAGGAAAGCGUAGGAACUUGCCCUUCAGAGGGGGAUAACCAAGGGAAACUUUGGCUAAUACCGCGUAAACUCGCGAGAGUAAAGCUGCCGCAAGGUGGCGCUGAAGGAGAGGCCUGCGUCCGAUUAGCUAGUUGGUGGGGUAAAAGCUUACCAAGGCGAUGAUCGGUAACCGGUCUGAGAGGACGACCAGUCACACUGGGACUGAGACACGGCCCAGACUCCUACGGGAGGCAGCAGUGGGGAAUAUUGGACAAUGGGGGCAACCCUGAUCCAGCGAUGCCGCGUGAGUGAAGAAGGCCUUCGGGUCGUAAAGCUC
rnacentral:rRNA from 1 species